rnacentral:rRNA from 1 species
UACGGGGGGAGCAAGCGUUGUUCGGAUUUACUGGGCGUAAAGGGCGCGUAGGCGGCCAGCACAAGUCAGUUGUGAAAUCUCCGAGCUUAACUCGGAAAGGUCAACUGAUACUGUGCGGCUAGAGUGCGGAAGGGGCAACUGGAAUUCUUGGUGUAGCGGUGAAAUGCGUAGAUAUCAAGAGGAACACCUGCGGCGGAAGGCGGGUGCCUGGGCCGACACUU